GGGAGCGCGAUACCUAUCGCUAUAGGAAUGCUAAUAGUAGCAUUCGCGAAAAAUGCGUGGUUGCUGGGCAUCAUGACGUUACUGUGGAGCUUCGGCACGGGCAUGUUGUCAACUGUCAUCGGAAUUUACCUAGCCGAAAUAGCAGAUACAGAAAUCAGAGGAACAUUAUCCUUGUGCACAAGGUUUACGUUCCAUUUAGGCAACUUAUUGAUAAUGUGCAUCGGGCCUUUUGUAUCAUACGAGACUAUCAACUACUUGAUGCUUCCC